AGCUUUCCUCAUGACUACUCCAGGAGGAGCCACAGUUUCAUCACCAUGACACGCGACCCAUUUGCUGGCAUGAACUCACUGCAUCUGCACCAGGGGACACCCCCCCUCCAUGCAAUGGCGUGCCCUCUCCCCUCUCCAUCAUCCCACAAGACCCUGCUGUCCCUUUCCCUCAGGGACACACUGCUUGGGGAAUACGCCCAUGUCCUCCUUACUUGUGCCAAGUAAUAAAACUCCUGUUGAUCAACACCUGCCUUCUCAUGGAGAGUCAUUUGUUACUUGCCAGGUAAACUCCCGUUUCAUCAGGGAAUAGACUCAGGACCUGAGAGACCUGGAUUCAGAAUCCCAGCUUAGAGUCAUUGGACAAGUUACUUAGAAUCCUCUAUUGGCCGGGCAUGGUGGCUCACACCUAUAAUCCCAGCUCUUUGGGAGGCUGAGGUGGGAUUACUCAUCCCACCUCAGGAGGAUUGCUUGAAGCCAGGAGUUUAAGAUCAGCCUGGGCAACAUAGUAAGACCCUGUCUCUACAAAAUAAAAAAUAAUAAUAAAAGGCUGAGUACAUUGGCUCACACCUGUAAUCCCAGCACUUUGGGAGACUGAGGUGGGCCGACUACCUGAGGUCAGGAGCUCGAGACCAGCCUGGCCAACAUGCUGAAACCCCGUGUCUACUGAAAAUACAAAAAAUUAGCCGAGCAUGGUGAUGUGUGCCUGUAAUCCCAGGUACUCAGGAGGCUGAAGCAGGAGAAUCACUUGAACCCAGGAGGCGGAGGCCGCAGUGAGCCAAGACUGCACCACUGCACUCCAGCCUGGGUGACAGAGUAAGACUCCAUCUCAAAAACAACAACAACGAUGAUAAUAAUUAAUACAGAAUCCUCUAAUCUCAGUUUUCUCAUCUGUUUAAAGAAAUAAAACCACUUCUUCCUCAGGGGGCUAUGGUGAUCCUAGACAGAAAGGGCCCAGCCCAGCUAUGUGUACCUGGAGUUUCCACGACAGUCCUGUCCAUUAUUAAUGCAAUUUCCAUUUCUGUUGUAAAGACUGCUUCCACCACACCUGCCUAAUGACAAAGCCUCACCUUCAAAGCUGGGGCAUAAGGAUGUCUGUGGCUGCUAGAUCUGGAGUAGGGGCUCUCAGCCCCCUACUCUCAUUUGAACAAGGCAGCAACCAUGCUCACGGGAUGCCAAGGAGAGAGACAAGUGAGGCUGGUGGCAGCUGGCCGAGAGGGUCCCCGUCCUACCUGGCCAGGCCAAGAAAGCUGUUGAUGCAUCCCAAGACCUAGCAAGACUUACUUUCUCAGUCACCUUGAAAGGAAGGACAAGCCUCCAAGUCGGCUCCUUGGGAGUGGAGAGAAGAAGUUUCCUCCACUCCACUGCUGAGAGUUACAAAAGGAGCCAUUAGCACUUGCCAAGCAAGGCCACCUUCCAUCUGAGGGAGAAAGUGCAAAAGACAGUUUAAAAGCCUCAUUAACACAAGGCAACAAGUCACAGGUGAAAAUUGAGCCUCUGAGGCCCUGCUGAUUGCACGGGGGGGAAGGCAUUUGCAUCUCUUCUCACCACAGAGGGGUGGCAGCCAAUUACCUCCAGGAUUAGAAAAAAGUUGCAAACCUGAGUCUAUCUUCACUGACGGGCUUGAAUUCCCUGCCAUGUGCCCCUCGCUAAAGCCUCCGCUUUGUGUAUGAGAAAAAAAGCCUCUAAGACCUGUGGGAAAACAUAAAAUCUGGAAGCAAGUUCACCCGUGGCUGACCAGAAGCAGAAAUGUUGCUUCCUUUGUGCAAGCCCUUCCUGGCUGGGCCAGAACAUCAGCUAAUGCAGCCUGGCACGUGGUCUGGCAGGAUAGGCCCUGCCAAUUAGAAAUUCAAACACAAUCAGUGUAAUGCCUAUGCUUUUGCUCCCUACAGGCCGUGCAGGAAACAGAAGCCCUGCGUGUCUGUGUCCCCUAAAUAAAUGACUCUGGUUCAUUCACUGCCUCCUACCCACUCCCUUGCCAGCUGUUAUGUGUGGGUUGUGGAGAAACCCCGCAGUGCCCUGCAGGGGCUUCUUCCUGCCCUUGGGGUCUAUGGGAAUGCUGGUUGCCUACAUAGUGCACACUCAAAUGUCUUCAGCGCCCAAGGCUGUCACUUUCUCAGCUCCCUGCCUACUCAGGUCUACGAAGUCAACUGCAAGGUUGUGGUCCAUUCUUUCCACACCAACCCUGGCCACGGGACCUUAGCCCUUUCAGAACUCAGGGUGCUGAAAUGUCUGAGAAGUUUCCCCAAGGAACGUCACCGAGCUGUCCCCUCCCCAACAACCUAGGGCAGCACAGGUCUCCAUCCAUUGCCCCUGAAGCCCCCAAUGUCUCUUUCUCCCUCCCACCCUCAGGGAGGCUCACUGACCCCCGCUUAAUUAUGCCGUGUCCUCCGUUGAAGACCUCCUCAAUGGGGAAGUGAGUACUGGCAGGGGAAGACCACAGUGGGGAAUUUUAGGUGUGAAGUGUUCUAUGAAUACAUCUUCAUCUGGGCGGCGGCCACACAGACACAGACCUACGACUCGUUCCAGCACCGUGGGGGCUGACACCCAUCUCACUGCUGGAUAAAAGAGAAUGAGAUCCUCUCUCCAUCCUACGUUGGAUUUGCUUGCUCACACAAACUGACCCUUAGGGACAGAAUUGUUCAACUACAAUUAGAUUUAGUUAACUAAUCCUGGAAGCGAAGCUUAGCAUAUCAGACAGGGUUCUGGCAGGAGACUCACUGCCCUCAGAAAGUUCACCCUCACAGGCUGCAACGCAGUGACUGUCUACAGCGAUGGGGAUGUGGCAGGGGCUAAGGAAGCCAACAAGAGAUUGUCACCUUCUUAGAGGAGAAAGCCAAGAUGGGGAGAUAUUAACCCCUAUGCGUGAAAACAUGAGGGGAGGAAGGAAUGUUUAGCCCAGUGAGACUCAGAGGCACGAGUCAGCACCUAUUACAGACGUGGUGCAGAAACAUGGAGGACAUGGAGAAGAAAUAUCCUGACCUUGUUCCACUUUCACCCUCCAAUUCCCUGACAGUGGUUCCCAUUGACUGAGCCCAGCUCGCAGUCACAGGCAGGGAGCAGGGGUCAAUCUCCUGGUGCACAGGCAGGCUGAGGAGGGAAUGAAUGUAGGAAAGGGCUGGGGAGAGAAAAUAAGUAGCAUGCCUUACUUAAGAGCCUCAGGAUCUUUAUCUGUAAAAUUGGAUGAUAACAUCUACUUAAUAGUGCAGUUCCGAGAAUAAAAACUAAGAUAUCUAAGGCAUGCAGCACUAAAAAGUAUUGAAAAUUGUAAACUUACUCUCCUCAUCAUCAUGAGCUAUGCUUCCCUUAAACAAUGCUGUUCUGUUCCCAAUAUGAGGUAUCCCGCAGAUUAGAAUGGCUGCAUAAUUGCUUAUCCUCCAGGCCUCAUUCCCCACAAAAGGACGGCAUACUUUCUGGAGUAUAGCAUUCCUGAAAAGGGCCCCUCUAGACCAUGUUUGAUUAGUUUCAGUGAUGGUGGACUAACUGCAUCCCCAUCUCUUCUGCCACCAAAUCACUCAAAACUCAGAAAACUAUUUCUGUAUUAUCAGGACAAAGCACUCCCUAUGCAUAUUCUCCAAGGCUUCUGCACUCGGAGGUCACCAGGAAGAGAUCUGCUCUGCUCUCUCAUUCACUGGAGCCCUACAGAUCUGGGAAAGCUUUGGGUUUUUUUUUGUUUUGUUUUGUUUUGUUUUGUUUGUUUGUUCGAGAGGGAGUCUCGCUCUGUUGCCCAGGCUGGAGUGCAAUGGUGCAAUCUUGGGUGACUGCAACCUCCGCCUCCCAGGUUCAAGCGAUUUUCCUGCCUCAGCCUCCCAUGUAGCUGGGAUUACAGGCACCCACCACCACGCCCAACUAAUUUUUGUAUUUUUGGUAAAGACGGGGUUUCACCAUGUUGGCCAGGCUGGUCGCGAACUCCGGACCUCAGCUGAUCUGCCUGUCUUGGCCUCCCAAAGUGUUGGGAUUACAAGUGUGAGCCACCAGGCCCAUCCAGAAAGUUCUUAAGUUAGAUCUAUUCUUCACAAAAGAGAGGAAAGAUUGGGGUUGGGGGUGGGAACCCAGCUCUUUAUGCCAAUUAAUUAACGCACAUUGAAUGGACAGAUUUCUUUUUCUUUUUCUUUCUUUCUUUUUUUUUUUUGAGAUAGAGUCUUGCUCUGUCACCUGGGCUGGAGUGCAGUGGUGCAAUCCCGGCUCACUGCUGCCUCCACCUCCCGGGUUCAAGCGAUUGUCCUGCCUCAGCCUCCCAAGUAGCUGUGAUUACAGGCACCUGCCACCAUGCCCAGCUAAUUUUUGAAUUUUUUAGUAGAGAUGGGGUUUCACCAUGUUGGUCAGGCUGGACAGAUUUCUAAAAGACACAACUACCAAACUACUACCACUACUAAAGCCCAUUUUAGCAAGAAAUAGAUAACCUGAGAUUAAAUCCAUAGUUAAAAACCUUUCUACAAGAGAAAUACUGCAGGCCCUGAUAGCUCCACUGCUUCAAUGGUGAAUUCUACCUAAUUUUUGAGAAGAAAAGUGUAUCAAUUCUACAAAAUUAUUUCAGAAGAUAGAAGUGAAAGGAAUACUUUCUAACUAAUUUUAUGCGGCCAGAAUUUCCCUGAUACUAGAAGUAGAAAAGAAUAUGUCAGGAAAAUAAAACUACAGAUUAAUAUCUCUCAUAAGCAUGUAUACGAAUAUCAUUAGCAUGAUUUUAGAAACUGAAUCUAGCAAUAUAUUUUAAAAGACAAUAAAAUAUGACUGUGAUUUGUGAUAUAGUAAGAAUAUAUACGUAUGUAUAUACUUGGUAUAUUAGACACAGCAAAAGACAGCAUUGUUAAAUUAAGGCAAAAAUACAAAAAUAAUAAUCGAAACAGAGGCACAGAGAAAAAUAAUUGAAGGGAAAUAAAAGCCAAAUAAAGCAUCUGUAACUAGCCACAAAUAGCAAAUGAUAUAAAAUACUUGCAAGUAGAAUUCCAGAAGGAAAUAAAAGAUAGAAUGGGGAAGAAAGGGUGUUUGAAGAACUAAUGGCUAAAUUUUUGCAAAUCUAGCCACUUACCUCAACCAAGAGAUGCAAGCAGCUCAGCAAAACCCAAGAAAAGUAAAAGGGAAGAGAAUCACACCUAGGCUCAUCAUUUUUAAACUCCUUACAACCAAAUAUAUUCACACAAAAGUAGUCACAUUAGAUAUAUGGGGAAAAUGAUAAAAAUGGUGGCUCACUUAUCAGAAAUAAUGGAAGUCAGAAGAUGUCUUUAAAUUCUGAAGGAAAAAAUAAACUCUUUCAACCAAAAAUUCUAUGCUCAGCAAAAAUGUCCUUCAAAAAUAAACAAAAUAUGUAAUUACAGUUGCAUAACAGCUGAGAAAAUCCCUUGCCAAUAAACCUGAACUGUAAGAAAUGUAAAGGAAAUUCUUCAGGCUGAAGGGAAAUGAUACCCGAUGGAAACUGUUCUACAGGAAGGAAUGACUGUGCCAGAGAAGGUGAGGAAGUGCACCUUGCUGUGAGGAGAAAUCUGUGCUGUGCUCUGUGUGUGCAUCAUGGCUUAGCAGGACAGGGCAGCCACAGGCCUCCCUGCAGUGGACUUGGGACUUCUUCAAGGCCUGAGGACUGGCUCUCAGCUGGGUGCUGGGAUCUUCCUGGAGAAGCUCUUCAAGGUGUAAUGGCCUCCCCCAAAAGCAGAGUCCAGGUUCUGACAACUCUGGGUUUCUUUGGGAGAUGAAGGCAUGCGCAGAAAAUGUUGUCACCAUUACCUAGUUUUGAAGAACUUUAUGCUCUUUUUUUCAAAAAAAAAAAAAAAACAGCUAUAAAGAAUAAUAAUACAUAAUUUGCUUUCAACUUACCAAAUUAAUUUAAAGUGACGUGAUGGCCUAGCACCAUCCUCAAGAGAUACCAACCUUUACACAGAGCCAUCAUAAAUAGCAAAUAUAGAGGCUGUUAGUAAAAAAAACUCAAUGAGGCCAACUCUAUGGCUCACCGUGAAAUAAAUUUCACAGAAAUAGAACUUUAAAAAUAGAAAACUAAACAAGCAAAACUGGAUGAACUGAUUGCUGAUAUUCAAGAAGCCAAAGUCAUUGGACCCUAAAUCAUAAUCCAUCAAACAUCGAUGGUUUUUCCAAAUAGAUCAUGUCACAGAGUCUUUCCCACAUGGUCCUUCACCAGAGGAUACCAUUUGUCUUCAAGAAAAUACUUUUACACCUCUCUACUCAUAUUCUCACUUUUGCUCCCAGACUUUGUCCCCCAAACUCUUCCUAUAAUUCUACAUUUAUUUUGCUGGAGAAUUUCAUGGCCAAGGUCUCUAUGAUUUUCUGCACUUCCAGAAAGCAUUCAUGGACACCCCCCACCCCCACUUGACAAAGGCAUUUUUCUGGCCUGCCACAUCUUUCAUUGAUAACAAGGACAACAUCCUCCAAGAAUUUAUCACCAUUUUCUUUUCCCAUGUGCUAGACUUUGCCCCUCUCCCCUGCCAUCAUAAGAAUAAUACUGCAUUAUCUUCAGGGUUGAAUUUCAGUGUUCAAAUGACCUACUAGUGAACAUCUAGAAAAGUAGAAAAAACAAUUGACUUAAAAAAAUAUUUUGAAUUAUCUCUCAUUUUAAUUCAAGAAACUACUAUUACUUAAGUGAUUAUACUUUUGCCCAGAGGAAGCUUUAUAGAAUUAUUAUUCUUAGCAUAAAGGUUUGUAAGUAAAAUUAUUUAGAAUAUUUUUUGAGAGCAUGCUCUUAUUUCAGAUGCCAGGUUCAGCAUGCAGAGCUUGGAAUUCAUCACCCCAUCCUAACAAGCAAAAAGCUGAACCCACGGAAAAAUCCCUCUUCUCAGAUCUUUCGGAAAAGUGAGGUCACAGGGCAAACACUGCUCUCAAAAUUGGAGAGACAGACAGGUGAAUACAGCAACUCACAACUUAUCAGAGCAGAAACCCAUCAGCAAACACCUCUGAGGGACCCCAAGCCAGGUUAGGAAAACCUCAAAUGUCAUUGACAAAUUGCUGGAGGCUCCACAUGGACAAGUUAAAAACUCCAGAAGGACCUGGUCAUGGAGGGGUUGCACGGGACACGCUUCUGUGAGUUUUACCUUCAGGAGCUCAACCAGGUUCUCACAGUGAAUAUCAGAGAAAAAUCUCCUAGGGCUUCUGGCAGGGGAAAGGAAAAGGAACCAUUUUGAAAUCUUUCUGAGUAUUCUGUUAUUAAUAAGGCCUCACAAGAAACUAUUUCAUCAGAGCCUAAACCAUUGGAGUUUUAUCAGAGCCAACCUGGGAAAAGGAACAUGCCCAAUUCCAGCCCACCUUAGCUUUUCACACGAGAGAAAGGAAAUACCCAGCUUUAGCCACCUCUAGCCUUCAACAUGGAAACAGGGAAUACCCGAUGCCAGUCCACUCUGCCCACGCUGUCUCACCUGAUGGGCAGGUACAAAACUGAGAAGCACUGGUGAAGUUCACAGUCCAGGGGCACGAGCUCACUAAAAGACUGAGAGCUAAUUCUAGGACUAUAGAAGGCACCCCCAUAUCUUAUCACCACAUUACUAAAGGCCUGGUAACCUCAGUGUCUGGCUAUUACAUGCACAUGAAAAAUUUAUAAAGCAAACUAAAAGGCAAAAAAACAAUUGAAAGAGACAGCAAACAUCGUAAGAAGACUCAGAUGUAGCAGAGAUGCUGGGGUACUAUCAGACCAGGAAUUUAAAACGAUUAUUACUAACGCACUGAGGGCUCUAUCUAAUGGAUGAAGUAGACAGCACACAAGAACAGAAGGGUGAUGUAAGCAGAGAGGUGGAAACUCUAAGAAAACAUUUUUUUAAUGCCAGAGAUCGAUAACACAGUUACAGAAAUGAAGAAUGUCUUUGCUGGGCUCAUUAGUAGACUGGACACAGCUGAGGAAAGAAUCUUUGAGCUUGAGGAUAUGUCAGUAGAAAUUUUCAAAAUGAAAAAGCAAGGGAAAAGAAAUCUACCCAAAACAGAACGGAAUAUCCAAGAACCAUGGGGCAGCUAAGAAAGGUGUAACCUACAUGUAAUGGGAAUACCAGAAGAAGAAAGAGUGAAAGAAGUGUUUGAAGCAAUAUUUGCUGAGAAUUUCCCCCAAAUUAAUGUUACAAAAAACAAAACUACACAUCCAGGGAGCUCAGAGAACACCCAGCAGGGUAAAUUAAAAAAAAAUAAAAAAAAAAUAUAUAUAAGCACAUCAUAGUCCAACUGCAAAAAAUCAAAGAUGCAGAAAAAUAUUAAAAGAAGCCGGGGUGAGUGGGGAACACCUUAGCUACAGAGGAGCGAAGAUAACAGUUACAUCAGACUUCCCAGAAGCCAAUCUGAAGAGACCAUAUACCGUAUGAUCCCAGCUCUAUGACAUUCUGGGCAAGGCAAGUUAUGCAGACAGUAAAACGAUCAGUGGUUACUAAGGAUUACAGGGAAGCACAUGCAGGGCACAGGGGAUUUUAGGGCAGCAAAACUACUCUGUGUGACUCUACAGUAGUGGAUCCAUGUCAUUACGCAUUUGUUCAAACCCACAGAAUGCACAACACCAAGAGGGCCCCCUCAUUUAGUUUAUGGACCUGGGUGACAGCAAACGGUCCAUGUAGUUUCAGCAAUUAUGACAUAUGUCCCAUUCUGGUGCAGGAUGUUGAUAGUUGGGGAGGCUGUGCCUCUGUCAGGGCGUAAGUAUAUGAGAAACCUCUGUACUCUCUGCUCAAUGUUGCUGUGAACCUAAAACUGCCCUAAAAAUUAAAAUCUAUUCAAAAAUACAUGUUCUAGGCCAGAUGCAGUGGCUCACGCCUGUAAUCCCAGCACUUUGGGAGGCCAAGGUGAGCGGAUCACUUGAGGUCAGGAGUUUGAGACCAGCCUGGCCAACAUGGUUAAACCCCGUCUCUACUAAAAAUACAAAAAUUAGCUGGGCGUGGUGGUGUGUGCCUGUAGUCCCAGCUACUCGGGAGGCUGAGGGAAAAGAAUUGCUUGAACCUAGGAGGCGGAGGUUGCAGUGAGCCGAGAUUGGGCCACUGCACUCCAGUCUGGCAACAGAGGGAGACUCCAUCUCAAACAAAACAAAACAAAACAAAAACAUGUUCUAAAGACCACAAUGAAAUACCAUACCACUACAAUUCCACUAGAAUGACCAAAAUGAAAUCAAUGUUAGAGAGUCUGUGGAAUAAUUACAUACUCCUAUACCGCUGUUGAGUGUUUAGUACAAUACUUAGAAAACUGUUCAGUAAUUUCUUAAGAUGCUAAGCAUACAUCUACCCUAUGACCCAGCAAAUAUACUUCCAUGUAUUUAUCCAAGAGAAAUGAAAAUAUGUGCUCACACAAAGCCUUUUAUAAGAAUGUUCACAGCAGCUUGAUUCACAAUAAUCCAAUGUUUGAAAACUUUCCAAAGUCCACCAACAAGUGCAUAAACUGUGAUAAAUUCACACAAUGGAAAUCACUUCAGCCAUGACAAGGAAUGAACUACUUAUCAUACAACAUGAAUUCUCAAAGUGCACUCAGCGAAUGAAGCCAGACACAAAAAAGUGUAUGCAAUGUGAUUCCAUUUAUAUGAAGUUACAGUGUACGCCAAAUGGUGGAGGGAUAGAUUGGGAAGGUGUGGAAGGACAUAUUCUGGGAUAUAUGUAAAUGUCCUGUCUUGCUAUGCAUGUGCCAAAAUUGAGUAGACGGUACACUUGACUUGUGUGUAAAUUAGGCCUCAAUUUCAAAGGGCAUGUUCUCUGGUAAUUACCUCUUUCCACUAGAGUCCAGGGCACAAGGAAUAUGAAAGCAGGGUUUUGAUGCAAACAGACAGGCUUUAGGGCAAUAAUCUUAAGAAUACUGAGCUCACAACACAGCUCAACACUCAGAGCAAAGGGAGGGUAGCCUGUGUCCUGCCUGUGUAGCCACCUCUUCUCCUGCUAUACCUGACUCUUCCCAGACCCCACCAGAGCUGUAGCAAAGACCAGGGAGUGGCCAGGCAUGGUGGGUCACGCCUAUAAUCCCAGCAGGAGUAAAGCUUGAGUCUAGGAGUUUAAGACCAGCCUAGACAACACAGCAAGACCCCAUCUCUAAAAAUCAUUUUUUUAAUUAGCUGGGUGUGGUGGCGUGCACCUAUAGUCCCAGCUACUUGGGAGGCUGAGGCAGGAGGAUUGCUUGAGCCUAGGAUUUUGGAGGCUGCAGUGAGCUAUGAUGGCACCACUGUACUGUACUCCAGCCUGGGUGACAGAGUGAGACUCUGUCUCAAAAAAGAAAUAAAUUAAAAAAAAAAAGAACUGUUGAAGGCAAAGUUUUUCCACAAUAUUUUGCCAUUGUAGACAGUGAAGCAUGCUUCUCCAGUCUUACUCUGAGGCUCUGAGUUCAUCAGAAUGAUUGAAAGUUCUGCUUUCAAAAUCAAUGGGAAAAGUGUCAUCUUUGAUGACAUAAGACAAUGAUGUAGAGGGAAUAUGGAAUUAUCCAUCUUCUCACUGCUGGGGGAAGCCGCAUGCACCACAGAAGUGGCAUGAGGCUUUCAUGAUAGCUGCUCACCUCCUAAAGCUCAUCCAAGUGACAUGCUGCUUGACAGCCUGUUGCAUAUUCAAGCCAGAGGUUGCAACCAAUGGGGGUUUGCUGAUAUGAAUGGCUUGGCUUGCUGAGUUGCCAACACUGAAAAAUUAGAGUUUUAUGUGAAAGUCUGGGUUUCCAUCUUCUCUAGAAAAAUCAGAGCAAAUCAGAUAAAUGUGGAAUCAUUAUGAAUAUGAAUAACACUGCUCCAGAAUCCCAUGAUGGUGAGACCCACCAGCAUUCUGUGGGGGCUGGUCUCCUGGACAGGGCUGUGCCACCUCCACUUGCCCGCGGUGAUCACUUGGCCCAUUUCCCCCCCCUUGUGAAUUGUUGAACUCAAAGUUUAAGGUUUCCCUUAAUUAUAGUCAUUUGACCUUCCUCACUUCCAAGAGCUCAGGAGAAACUUUCCCAUCGGCGAUAAAGCAACAUUUUAUAUAAAUUGCAAAAAUUAAACCACAGAGCCAAUUACUGCCUGAGCUGCUCACACAGUGUUUCAGGGGACGUUGAAGAAAGGGUUCUGACCUUGAGAAAUCUUCUCAGCUCUGGUUCUCAAUUUUCUGACCUAUAAGAUAAGAAAAUGAACUCAACCAUCUCCAGUGGCUCAUUCCUCUAUGAUAAAAUAUCUAACCCUAAUUGUCUUGGCAAAGACAGCCCCUUGGCAUCAGGGAGGCUGUUGUACAAGGUCUGACCCACUUCUCAUUCAAUUUAUUCAGAAAAGCAUGUGUUCGUAAAACCUUCCUUCAUGGCCAAGCUGGCGUGUAAACGGCUGCUCAUCGCAGCCAGCACUUAAGAAUACUGAGCUCUUGAUAUGGUUCAAAAUGAAGAGAGACAGGCAGCCUGUGCUCUGCCUGAGUAUCUCCUCCUGGGGCACCACAGUCUGUCCCCAGCCCCACCAAGGCAGCAAUGGGGACCCUUGACAUCAAGGGUAGAUUUAAACAUCAAAGUCCCGUUGAACCCAGGCAUGAAAUUUCCCCAGAUGUGUUCACAUUCAGGUUACAAAUGAAGUGGAAAAGGCUUAAGACACAUGCAAAAACCUCUUGACAAAAACAUCAGGGAAAUAUUUGUGGAUGAAUUCGAGGAGGUUUCAGAAGGUCGAUUCUUCCCUCAAAUACGAUAAUCUAGCAAUAAUCUCACCAAGCAAUCUGCAUGCUUGAAGAUGGUCACAUUUGUUGUUAAGUUUAUGUCAAUUUAAGGUCAAAUAUAUGUGACUGUAAAUAUAUGACCUUAUGUAAGGAAAGUAUCUACACACAUACGUAAUAAAUAUGCAACUAACAUUUAAUUAACUGAUUCUGUGCACUAAGUAAUUUCCAAAGGUAUACUAUACUAUCAUCUUUGAUUUUUUUUUCUUUUCUUUUCUUUUUUUUUGAGACGGUUUUACUCUUGUCAUCCAGGCUGGAGUGCAAUGGCACAAUCUCGGCCUACUGCAACCUCUGCCUCCUGGGUUCAAGCGAUUCUCCUGCAUCAGACUCCUGAGUAGCCGGGAUUAAAGGUGCCCACCACCAUGCCCAGCUAAUUUUUGUAUUUUUAGUAGAGACGGGGUUUCACCAUGUUGGCCAGGCUAGUCUCGAACUCCUGACCUCAGGUGAUCUGCCCACCUCGGCCUCCUAAAAUCCUGGGAUUACAGGCAUGAGCCACCGUGCCUGGCCCACCUUUGAUUCUUUAAAGUUCCACUUUACACAUCAGGAAAACUGAGGCUCGGGAAGGUGAAACAACCCGUCCAAGACCACACAGCUAGGAUGGGCAGAAACCUAGCAGUGCUGGACUUUUCACUCGGCUAGCUGGGCACCAAUGCUUUGAGUCUAAUGCUUAUGCUUUGGGUUAUGACAUCAUCCUUCCUCUCAUGCUGCAUGGAAAUUAAGAGUUCCCUGAACCUUGUUAAAUCAACAGAUAACCUUUCUGUCCACACGGUGAGGAUGGCAGCAUUCACAACCUCCUUUUAUUUGACCAGAGGUGUUCAGACACAUGCAUGUCCUUGAUAAGAGUCAGAUACAAUUAGAGAGAGUGCGAAGGAACUGGAAGGAGCUGUGGAUUGAGAGCACUGUGUAAUCUCGACCUCCCGUGCCUUCGGGGCUAAUAUGUCAAGGUUUCCACGGACCCCCUGGACACUUAAGGACUUGUGUGCAUGCAUGGAGUACUCUUCCUCUGUCUUUUGGAAAGCCAUGGAUAAAAUAAUGACAAGAGACAAUGCUGGCCACCUACUGUGCAUGAGGUUGUGCUCUCUCAGCCACCCUACAAGGCUGGAACUUGCCCCUACUUGACCUGGGCUGCAAAUGAGAAAUUUACAGCCAGGAGCUCUCAGGGUCUGAGGGAGAGCCCCGAUCCCAGGGCAGGACCCAGAGGUCUGAUUUGUCUGCUCUGACCUGAUAGGUUCUCCUCACUCUCUGAAAGAAAGCCUGCGAGAGCAAACUGGCCUUUGCACCCCAUCUGUCUGGAAUGCCCUCUUUCCCAGGAGCCUCACCUCUCCCUGCCUGUACAACUCCUAAGGCUCCAGGGACCAGCUCUAACUUCCUCUCCUUGGUGCUGCAGCCUCUGCUGCUCUAGCAGAGGGAGGAGGGUCCUUGCUCUGAGCCCCUGCUACUCCUUUGAGGUGCCUUAGGCCCAGCAACAAUGGGCUGUCCAUUGCUGGCUGGUUUAUCCCCAUGUGUGACAGUCCAUUUGCAUUGCUGUAAAGGAACACCUGCGAUUGGGUGAUAUAUAAAGAAACGAGGUUUAUUUAGCUCACAGUUCUGCAGCCGUGCAAGCAGCAUGGUGCUGGCAUCUGCUCCUGGUGAGGCCUCAGGAAACUUACAAUCACGGUGGAAGGAGGAGAGGGAGCAGGCGAGUGUCACAUGGAGAGAAAGGAAGCAAGAGAGAGAACCUUUAGACAACCAGCUCUUGUGUGAACUCAUUACCUCAGAGAGCACACCAAGCCAUUCAUGAGGGAUCCGCCCCCAUGACCCAAUCAGCUCCCACCAGGCCCCACCUCCAACACUGGGAAUCACAUUUCAACAGAGAUUUGGAGGGGACACACACCCAAACCAUCUAAGCGCUGGAGGCUGGAGCUCCGUGGCAAGCUUGUGCCUGGACUGCAGCGCUAACCACUAGCACCGACAGGCCUGUCCUCAGCUUCUCUCUGGCAGCAGCUGGCCUGUGGCCUCCUCUGCCUCUCCCUGCAACCAGCUAAUGACCCCUUCCCUCUAGAGGCUUCAGGGUCCUUCAAUCUGUGCCCUUCUCCCCCAAAGCCCCUCGCCUGAGCUCACAGCAGGCUGUCACAUAUGCUGGCCUUGUUCAGGCCCUAGAAAUGGCUUUUGGAUCAGUGUUUCUUUCCUGCACCUUCUUCAAGAGAGCUGAGGCUCAGCAGGGCCCAGGCCUGGCCACAGGGAUUGUCAAUGAUUCUUCAGAGGCUAUUGACAAGGCCCCACCUGGCAAGCUGGCAUCCGAGGACCCAGGCAGGACCUGAGCCCUGCUGCCUCAGCAGCCAGCUUCCUGUAGGCCCCUGAACACACUUUCCAAACUGAGGACUGAUUCUCAUCAUGGCCAUACUCCUGUCUCCCAGCUCCUGCUCCCACAGAGCUUCCUGCUCUAGAACCAAGCUUUCUUAGAGUCUCCCCGCCCUGCCUCGACCCAGGCUGGCCUUUGCAGUGGAGGCAGCCCCACCCAGAGCCAGAGCUUCACCACCUCUGCCAACUGCAAGCAGCCCCCGCCUUGUGCUGGCAGGUAUGGCGAAAAUGGGAGAGACUGAGUUCCAGUUGGGAGGAGAGAGAGACAGGAGAUGAGGAGAACAUGAGCUCAGUAAUUCAGCUUGAGUACCUAACACAGACAUGGGGUGAGGGGGCUCCGUAGGACCAUGGGAGCGUUCUGCACUGACCUGCAUAGGAUAGGGCUUGAAUAAAGUUUUACUCGAAUCACUUUUCCCACCAUUGAACAUGGACUGUAUAUUCAGCUCUGCAAUUUGCACUUCCAUUUAGUAUUUUUAAAAAAGGUUUCCAUGUCAAUCCACACUGACCCAUAAUAGAGCUGCUUCGAGCAUCAUCAGAUUGGGAGCUGCAGAGGGGCGGGGGACGGAGCUGCCCCUCGUGCUCCUUCCUCCUUUCCCCCACCACACACUCAGACACAUACACAGAGAGACAUACACAGACACGCACACACACACAAACACAGACAUGCACAGAGACACACACAGGCACACACACACACAGACACAUAAACACAGACACACACAGACACACACACAGAGACACACAUAAACACACAGACACACACACAAACAUACACAUACACACACAUACACAGAGGCAUAAAAAGAUACACACAAAGAGAAACACACACAGAUACACACAGAGAGACAUAGACAUACACAGAAACACACAGACAAGUACAGACACACACAGAAAGAUACUCACAUAGACACACAGAGGGACAUACACACAAAGACAUACAGACACACACACAAAGACACACACAUGGGCACACAUACAGUGCAGAGUUUCUUUACAGCCAGA
rnacentral:lncRNA from 1 species